rnacentral:rRNA from 1 species
AGAUUAAGUUAUUAAGGGCGCACGGUGGAUGCCUUGGCACUAGAAGCCGAUGAAGGACGUUACUAACGACGAUAUGCUUUGGGGAGCUGUAAGUAAGCUUUGAUCCAGAGAUUUCCGAAUGGGGAAACCCAGCAUGAGUUAUGUCAUGUUAUCGAUAUGUGAAUACAUAGCAUAUCAGAAGGCACACCCGGAGAACUGAAACAUCUUAGUAACCGGAGGAAGAGAAAGAAAAUUCGAUUCCCUUAGUAGCGGCGAGCGAAACGGGAAGAGCCCAAACCAACAAGCUUGCUUGUUGGGGUUGUAGGACACUCUAUACGGAGUUACAAAGGACGACAUUAGACGAAUCAUCUGGAAAGAUGAAUCAAAGAAGGUAAUAAUCCUGUAGUCGAAAAUGUUGUCUCUCUUGAGUGGAUCCUGAGUACGACGGAGCACGUGAAAUUCCGUCGGAAUCUGGGAGGACCAUCUCCUAAGGCUAAAUACUCUCUAGUGACCGAUAGUGAACCAGUACCGUGAGGGAAAGGUGAAAAGCACCCCGGAAGGGGAGUGAAAUAGAACCUGAAACCGUGUGCUUACAAGUAGUCAGAGCCCGUUAAUGGGUGAUGGCGUGCCUUUUGUAGAAUGAACCGGCGAGUUACGAUUUGAUGCAAGGUUAAGCAGUAAAUGUGGAGCCGUAGCGAAAGCGAGUCUGAAUAGGGCGUUUAGUAUUUGGUCGUAGACCCGAAACCAGGUGAUCUACCCUUGGUCAGGUUGAAGUUCAGGUAACACUGAAUGGAGGACCGAACCGACUUACGUUGAAAAGUGAGCGGAUGAACUGAGGGUAGCGGAGAAAUUCCAAUCGAACCUGGAGAUAGCUGGUUCUCUCCGAAAUAGCUUUAGGGCUAGCCUCAAGUGAUGAUUAUUGGAGGUAGAGCACUGUUUGGACGAGGGGCCCCUCUCGGGUUACCGAAUUCAGACAAACUCCGAAUGCCAAUUAAUUUAACUUGGGAGUCAGAACAUGGGUGAUAAGGUCCGUGUUCGAAAGGGAAACAGCCCAGACCACCAGCUAAGGUCCCAAAAUAUAUGUUAAGUGGAAAAGGAUGUGGCGUUGCCCAGACAACUAGGAUGUUGGCUUAGAAGCAGCCAUCAUUUAAAGAGUGCGUAAUAGCUCACUAGUCGAGUGACACUGCGCCGAAAAUGUACCGGGGCUAAACAUAUUACCGAAGCUGUGGAUUGUCCUUUGGACAAUGGUAGGAGAGCGUUCUAAGGGCGUUGAAGCAUGAUCGUAAGGACAUGUGGAGCGCUUAGAAGUGAGAAUGCCGGUGUGAGUAGCGAAAGACGGGUGAGAAUCCCGUCCACCGAUUGACUAAGGUUUCCAGAGGAAGGCUCGUCCGCUCUGGGUUAGUCGGGUCCUAAGCUGAGGCCGACAGGCGUAGGCGAUGGAUAACAGGUUGAUAUUCCUGUACCACCUAUAAUCGUUUUAAUCGAUGGGGGGACGCAGUAGGAUAGGCGAAGCGUGCGAUUGGAUUGCACGUCUAAGCAGUAAGGCUGAGUAUUAGGCAAAUCCGGUACUCGUUAAGGCUGAGCUGUGAUGGGGAGAAGACAUUGUGUCUUCGAGUCGUUGAUUUCACACUGCCGAGAAAAGCCUCUAGAUAGAAAAUAGGUGCCCGUACCGCAAACCGACACAGGUAGUCAAGAUGAGAAUUCUAAGGUGAGCGAGCGAACUCUCGUUAAGGAACUCGGCAAAAUGACCCCGUAACUUCGGGAGAAGGGGUGCUCUUUAGGGUUAACGCCCAGAAGAGCCGCAGUGAAUAGGCCCAAGCGACUGUUUAUCAAAAACACAGGUCUCUGCUAAACCGUAAGGUGAUGUAUAGGGGCUGACGCCUGCCCGGUGCUGGAAGGUUAAGAGGAGUGGUUAGCUUCUGCGAAGCUACGAAUCGAAGCCCCAGUAAACGGCGGCCGUAACUAUAACGGUCCUAAGGUAGCGAAAUUCCUUGUCGGGUAAGUUCCGACCCGCACGAAAGGCGUAACGAUUUGGGCACUGUCUCAACGAGAGACUCGGUGAAAUCAUAGUACCUGUGAAGAUGCAGGUUACCCGCGACAGGACGGAAAGACCCCGUGGAGCUUUACUGUAGCCUGAUAUUGAAAUUCGGCACAGCUUGUACAGGAUAGGUAGGAGCCUUUGAAACGUGAGCGCUAGCUUACGUGGAGGCGCUGGUGGGAUACUACCCUAGCUGUGUUGGCUUUCUAACCCGCACCACUUAUCGUGGUGGGAGACAGUGUCAGGCGGGCAGUUUGACUGGGGCGGUCGCCUCCUAAAAGGUAACGGAGGCGCUCAAAGGUUCCCUCAGAAUGGUUGGAAAUCAUUCAUAGAGUGUAAAGGCAUAAGGGAGCUUGACUGCGAGACCUACAAGUCGAGCAGGGUCGAAAGACGGACUUAGUGAUCCGGUGGUUCCGCAUGGAAGGGCCAUCGCUCAACGGAUAAAAGCUACCCCGGGGAUAACAGGCUUAUCUCCCCCAAGAGUUCACAUCGACGGGGAGGUUUGGCACCUCGAUGUCGGCUCAUCGCAUCCUGGGGCUGUAGUCGGUCCCAAGGGUUGGGCUGUUCGCCCAUUAAAGCGGUACGCGAGCUGGGUUCAGAACGUCGUGAGACAGUUCGGUCCCUAUCCGUCGUGGGCGUAGGAAAUUUGAGAGGAGCUGUCCUUAGUACGAGAGGACCGGGAUGGACAUACCUCUGGUGUACCAGUUGUCGUGCCAACGGCAUAGCUGGGUAGCUAUGUGUGGACGGGAUAAGUGCUGAAAGCAUCUAAGCAUGAAGCCCCCCUCAAGAUGAGAUUUCCCAACUUCGGUUAUAAGAUCCCUCAAAGAUGAUGAGGUUAAUAGGUUCGAGGUGGAAGCAUGGUGACAUGUGGAGCUGACGAAUACUAAUCGAUCGAAGACUUAAUCAAAUU